rnacentral:rRNA from 1 species
UACGUGGGGGGCAAGCGUUGUUCGGAAUUACUGGGCGUAAAGCGCGCGUAGGCGGCUUUUCAAGUCGGGCGUGAAAGCCCCGGGCUUAACCUGGGAAUGGCCGUUGAAACUGGCGAACUGGAGUGUGGCAGAGGGGGGUGGAAUUCCGCGUGUAGCAGUGAAAUGCGUAGAGAUGCGGAGGAACACCGAUGGCGAAGGCAGCCCCCUGGGCUAACACUGACGCUCAGGCACGAAAGCGUGGGGAGCAAACAGG